UACGGGGGGAGCAAGCGUUGUUCGGAUUUACUGGGCGUAAAGGGCGCGUAGGCGGCCACCGCAAGUCGACUGUGAAAUCUCCGGGCUUAACUCGGAAAGGUCAGCCGAUACCGCGGGGCUAGAGUGCAGAAGGGGCAACUGGAAUUCUCGGUGUAGCGGUGAAAUGCGUAGAUAUCGAGAGGAACACCUGCGGCGAAGGCGACUUCCUGGCCUGUUCUUGACGCUGAGGCGCGAAAGCUAGGGGAGCAAACGGG
rnacentral:rRNA from 1 species